GAUGAACGCUGGCGGCGUGCUUAACACAUGCAAGUCGAGCGAAGUAGUUAAGGAGAUUCUUCGGAUGAUUCUUAACUGACUGAGCGGCGGACGGGUGAGUAACGCGUGGGUGACCUGCCCCAUACCGGGGGAUAACAGCUGGAAACGGCUGCUAAUACCGCAUAAGCGCACAGAGCUGCAUGGCUCGGUGUGAAAAACUCCGGUGGUAUGGGAUGGGCCCGCGUCUGAUUAGGCAGUUGGCGGGGUAACGGCCCACCAAACCGACGAUCAGUAGCCGGCCUGAGAGGGCGACCGGCCACAUUGGGACUGAGACACGGCCCAAACUCCUACGGGAGGCAGCAGUGGGGAAUAUUGCACAAUGGGGGAAACCCUGAUGCAGCGACGCCGCGUGAGCGAAGAAGUAUUUCGGUAUGUAAAGCUCUAUCAGCAGGGAAGAUAAUGACGG
rnacentral:rRNA from 1 species